AGAGCGAACGCUGGCGGCGUGCUUAACACAUGCAAGUCGAACGCGCAGCAUUCUGUAGCAAUACAGGGUGUGGGCGCGUGGCGAACGGGUGCGUAACACGUGGAUAACCUUCCUUCAGGUGGGGAAUAACCCAGUGAAAAUUGGGCUAAUACCGCAUAACAAAACGAUGAGACAUCUUGUUGUUUUCAAAGGCGCAAGUCGCCAGAAGAGGGAUCCGCGGCCGAUUAGCUUGUUGGCGAGGUAAUGGCUCACCAAGGCAAUGAUCGGUAGCCGGACUGAGAGGUUGGCCGGCCACACUGGAACUGAGACACGGUCCAGACUCCUACGGGAGGCAGCAGUGGGGAAUCUUGCACAAUGGGCGAAAGCCUGAUGCAGCAACGCCGCGUGGGGGAUGAAGCUUCUCGGAGUGUAAACCCUUUCGACCCGGAAGAAAGCCCGCAAGGGUUUGACGGUACGGGUAUAAGAAGCCCGGCUAACUACGUGCCAGCAGCCGCGGUAAU
rnacentral:rRNA from 1 species